rnacentral:rRNA from 1 species
UACAGAGGUCUCAAGCGUUGUUCGGAUUCAUUGGGCGUAAAGGGCGCGUAGGCGGCGGGGUAAGUCGGGUGUGAAAUCUCAGAGCUCAACUCUGAAACUGCACUCGAUACUGCUCUGCUUGAGGACUGGAGAGGAGACUGGAAUUCACGGUGUAGCAGUGAAAUGCGUAGAUAUCGUGAGGAAGACCAGUGGCGAAGGCGGGUCUCUGGACAGUUCCUGACGCUGAGACGCGAAGGCCAGGGGAGCAAACGGG